CGUAGGUAACCUGCCUGGUAGCGGGGGAUAACUAUUGGAAACGAUAGCUAAUACCGCAUAAUAGUAGAUGUUGCAUGACAUUUGCUUAAAAGGUGCAAUUGCAUCACUACCAGAUGGACCUGCGUUGUAUUAGCUAGUUGGUGAGGUAACGGCUCACCAAGGCAACGAUACAUAGCCGACCUGAGAGGGUGAUCGGCCACACUGGGACUGAGACACGGCCCAG
rnacentral:rRNA from 1 species